GAGAAUGAAAUGUCGUUUUAUAUAUAAUGAAUCCGGUGCUUGCCACGUUUUGGUUAUUGCGGACAUCACGUCAUUAUACUUUGCUAGAAUUAUUUAAACUCCACAUUUUUCUUUGUAUACCUCAUAUUUUAAGUUCAUCUUAAUUUUUAAUUUAAAUUUUCACAAUUUCUAAAAAAAUUCCACUAUCUUUCCAAACUACUCUUAAAUAC
rnacentral:lncRNA from 1 species